CCCUUAGAUGUUCUGGGCGGCCCGCGCACUACACUGGCACUCUCAAUCAGAGUCUGGAUCUAACACUUUGGGGUAUUCUAUGAAGUGGUGUCGUGACUGGGAUUAACCCUUGCAAUUAUUGGUUACGAACGAGGAAUUCCUUGUAAUCGCGGUUUAUCAGCCCGCGUUGAAUGCGUCCCUGCCCUUUGUACACACCGCCCGUCGCUCCUACCGAUGGAUCGUCCGGUGAAGCUCAUGGAGGGGCGGUUGUCUCAGCUGCCGUCGAAGUGAAAUGGACCUCACGAUCUAGAGGAAGGAGAAGUCGUAACA
rnacentral:rRNA from 1 species